rnacentral:rRNA from 1 species
UACGUAGGGUGCAAGCGUUGUCCGGAAUUAUUGGGCGUAAAGAGCUCGUAGGCGGUCAGUCGCGUCUGCUGUGAAAACUCGGGGCUUAACUCCGGGCCUGCAGUGGGUACGGGCUGACUAGAGUGCGGUAGGGGAGACUGGAAUUCAUGGUGUAGCAGUGAAAUGCGUAGAGAUCAUGAGGAAGACCAGUGGCGAAGGCGGGUCUCUGGACAGUUCCUGACACUGAGGCACGAAGGCCAGGGGAGCAAACGGG